rnacentral:tRNA from 1 species
CCUUCGAUAGCUCAGUUGGUAGAGUGGAGGACUGUAGUGGAGAGUGCAGAAAUCCUUAGGGCGCUGGUUCAAAUCCGGUUCGAAGGA